GUAUGGAUGAAAACACAAGUUUUCGCGUGAAAAUCUCUUUUGUCUAUGAAAACACGAAUUUUGUGUCAGUGCGAACAUAGUAUAAAAAUGCAAAUUAAAAAAUUAAAAAUCAAAAUAAAAUACGACCGCUUUUCGGAGCGGUACUCGCGCACGAUGGGAGGAUUUCGCAACCAAAAAUUAUUAGCGAAAUUUACCACAGCUUCACCCCAGAAGACUCGAAGAUAGCAGAAUUGAGCAUUUUCAGUGUUAAAUGAGAAAAAUAAUGCUAAUUGCUGUUUAAAAAUGUACAGAUACAGAUUCGUUUAUUUAUAAUGAGUAAACGAAUUUGCAUAUAUACAUUUCUGUAUAUAUUUGGUAUCAAAGCACAUAAGUAAAUAAUGUGUGACAAAUAUUAAAAUUAUGCCGAAAGCCAGCUGUACAUUGUGCCGAAAAUCGAUCAAAAUUAGAAAAUAUUCCAUGAAAAAAAAAAGUGAGAGCCGUCAUGAGCAGGAAAGUCAGACAUGGGGCGUUGCGCUGCAUGAAAACUCCAAGAUAUACGAGCUUAAUUUUUCUAAUGAGGACUUUAUAAGCGAAGGGUACAAUACAGGCAUCAUUGAUCAACGACGAGGAUACUGAUAUAGUAAGAAUGAAAGUUGACGAAAUAUUUUUUUGAAAUAUAAGAUUUUAUUAAAAUGUUAUCAAAUAUGCAUGAUAUCAUAGAUAUUCACAAAAGGAAAAUUAUAUCAUGUUUCAUGCAUGUGUUUGCAUAAAAAUUUAUAAACAUAUAAGCCAGAGGGGUAACAGACGUCUGUAAUAGCAAUAUAUAUUUUUGAGGAUAAUUUUUAUUCAAUGCUCAGCUCUGUUCAAAUUCCAUUGUUAUCCGCCUAUCGUGUUUUGUUAGUGUUAGUGUUACCGAAGUUAGUUUUGGGUGCUCUAUUCCCUGUAGACCUAUAUUAUCGGUACAAAAUAAAUUUACAAUAAUUUCAAGAAAAAACUUAAAACUUUACAAACAAAAUAUCACAAUUAAUAGACAGCAAAUAUUUGCAAUAAAUAAAUAGAUAAAACUUACGCCUAAGAUUUACAUAUUUACGUAUAUAAGAAAUAACCUAUAUCCUAUGUAGUAAUAAUUAUUUAUUAAUUUAAGACUAUAAUGAAAAGAAAAUAAGAGUUUUGAAAAUAGCUUAAACCUGCUCUAUCUACAAGUACGAACUACUUUUUUCGACUUAAAAUUUGGGGUGCUCUGGAUUCUAUUAAAAAAUUUAAUUAAAAAGAAAAUUCUUAUUCUUACGAAUAAUAUUAAAGUUAAACUACUGUUGCUGUUGUCACAGUAGGAAUAGAGUCUAACACUUUUUAAUUUAUCAAAUAAAAGCUGCCCUACACCUAGCCUAUGACUAGUUGAAUCAAUUCUAAUUCUUUCAAAUAAUCUUAAAAUCCCUUUGGCGGUUUUAUCAAAUUACAACUGUCAACUUGUCUUUGUUGAAUGAAAUAAAAUUCAGUUGAAGUAUCUCGUUUUCCUAUAUACAAGUAUGGUAUAGGUUGGGAGCAAGCGUGUGACUUAUAAAUUUUUAAAUAAAAUUAUCCGCUUUACAACGUACGGGAUUUUGGAAAAUAAACAAUGUCAUCAACUCACCAACUGUA